rnacentral:rRNA from 1 species
AACGAACGCUGGCGGCAUGCCUAACACAUGCAAGUCGAACGAGACCUUCGGGUCUAGUGGCGCACGGGUGCGUAACGCGUGGGAACCUGCCUUUAGGUUCGGAAUAACUCCCCGAAAGGGGUGCUAAUACCGGAUAAUGUCUUCGGACCAAAGAUUCAUCGUCUUUGGAUGGGCCCGCGUUGGUUUAGCUAGUUGGUAGGGUAAAAGCCUACCAAGGCGACGAUCCAUAGCUGGUCUGAGAGGAUGAGCAGCCACACUGGGACUGAGACACGGCCCAGACUCCUACGGGAGGCAGCAGUGGGGAAUAUUGGAAUAUGGGCGAAAGCCUGAUCGAGCAAUGCCGCGUGAGUGAUGAAGGCCUGAGAGUUGUAAAGCUCUUUUACCCGGGAUGAUAAUGACAGUACCGGGAGAAUAAGCACCGGCUAACUCCGUG